AACGAACGCUGGCGGCAUGCCUAACACAUGCAAGUCGAACGAGAUCUUCGGGUCUAGUGGCGCACGGGUGCGUAACGCGUGGGAAUCUGCCCUUUGGUUCGGAAUAGCAGUUGGAAACGACUGCUAAUACCGGAUGAUGACGAAAGUCCAAAGAUUUAUCGCCAGAGGAUGAGCCCGCGUAGGAUUAGCUAGUUGGUGUGGUAAAGGCGCACCAAGGCGACGAUCCUUAGCUGGUCUGAGAGGAUGAUCAGCCACACUGGGACUGAGACACGGGCCAGACUCCUACGGGAGGCAGCAGUGGGGAAUAUUGGACAAUGGGCGAAAGCCUGAUCCAGCAAUGCCGCGUGAGUGAUGAAGGCCUUAGGGUUGUAAAGCUCUUAUACCCGGGAUGAUAAUGACAGUACCGGGAGAAUAAGCUCCGGCUAACUCCGUGCCAGCCGCCGCAGUAA
rnacentral:rRNA from 1 species